GAAGGUGGCAAGCGUUGUUCGGAUUUACUGGGCGUAAAGGGAGCGUAGGCGGUUUGGUAAGCCCUUCGGGAAAUCUCCCGGCUUAACCGGGAAAGGUCGGAGGGGACUGCCAGGCUAGAGGAUGGGAGAGGAGCGCGGAAUUCCCGGUGUAGCGGUGAAAUGCGUAGAGAUCGGGAGGAAGGCCGGUGGCGAAGGCGGCGCUCUGGAACAUUCCUGACGCUGAGGCUCGAAAGCGUGGGGAGCAAACAGGAUUAGAUACCCUGGUAGUCCACGCCCUAAACGAUGGACACUAAGUGUCGGCGGGUUACCGCCCGGUGCCCGCAGCUAACGCAGUAAGUGUCCCGCCUGGGGAGUACGGCCGCAAGGUUG
rnacentral:rRNA from 1 species